rnacentral:rRNA from 1 species
GACGAACGCUGGCGGCGUGCCUAAUACAUGCAAGUAGGACGCAGUUGCGAACGGGUGAGUAACGCGUAGGUAACUACCUAUUAGAGGGGGAUAACUAUUGGAAACGAUAGCUAAUCCCGCAUACUAGUAGAUGGACCUGCGUUGUCUUCGCUAGUAGGUAGGGUAAUGGCCUACCUAGGCCACGAUACAUAGCCGACCUGAGAGGGGGAUCGGCACAAAUUGGACUGGGACACGGGCCAGACUCCGUCGGGAGGCAGCAGGAGGGAAGCGUCGGCAAUGGGGGGAACCCUGACCGAGCAACGCCGCGGGAGUGAAGAAGGUUUUCGGAUCGUAAAGCUCUGUUGUGAAGGAAGCGGUACUUAACCAGAAAGGGACGGCUAACUACGUGCCAGCCGCCGCGGUAAUUC